GUUUCUUGCUGAACCCCACCUCCUCCCGGGGUUUCUGGCAAACGCGGCGGCACUGAUCCUCCUCCCCAGUGCCGCCGCAGCUU
rnacentral:ncRNA from 17 species